UUUAAGCGCAACCAUAAAUUUAUGUGUCCAACUUUGAUUGUCCAUCUUAUUUAAAUUUUUUUAUGAUUAAUAUUUUUAUUGUUAUUAGAUGAUAAAACAUCCAUAGUAUUUCAUGCAUGACUUAUGUUUUUUAAAUUUUAUUAAAAAAUUUUAAAUAAGACAGAUGAUUAAAGUUGAAUAUAAAAACUCAAAGAUUGCGCUUAAA
rfam:Oryza sativa Japonica Group DNA, chromosome 8, cultivar: Nipponbare, complete sequence.